GCAGGGGUUCCCGAGUGGUCAAAGGGGCACGGCUAAGAACCGUGUGCUUAGUGCUUCGCAGGUUCGAAUCCUGUCCCUUGCA
rnacentral:tRNA from 1 species